ensembl:snoRNA SNORD116 Small nucleolar RNA SNORD116
GGAUCGAUUAUGAGUCCUGCAUCAAAGUAUUACUUGGAAAAGCUGAAUAAAAUGAGUGAAACUCACUACUGUCUCACUUAUCAGAACUGAGGUCC